rnacentral:rRNA from 1 species
AACGAACGCUGGCGGCAUGCCUAACACAUGCAAGUCGAACGAGAUCUUCGGAUCUAGUGGCGCACGGGUGCGUAACGCGUGGGAAUCUGCCCUUGGGUUCGGAAUAACAGUGAGAAAUUACUGCUAAUACCGGAUGAUGUCUUCGGACCAAAGAUUUAUCGCCCAGGGAUGAGCCCGCGUAGGAUUAGGUAGUUGGUGGGGUAAUGGCCUACCAAGCCGACGAUCCUUAGCUGGUCUGAGAGGAUGAUCAGCCACACUGGGACUGAGACACGGCCCAGACUCCUACGGGAGGCAGCAGUGGGGAAUAUUGGACAAUGGGCGAAAGCCUGAUCCAGCAAUGCCGCGUGAGUGAUGAAGGCCUUAGGGUUGUAAAGCUCUUUUACCCGGGAUGAUAAUGACAGUACCGGGAGAAUAAGCUCCGGCUAACUCCGUGCCAGCAGCCGCGGUAAUACGGAGGGAGCUAGCGUUGUUCGGAAUUACUGGGCGUAAAGCGCGCGUAGGCGGUUACUCAAGUCAGAGGUGAAAGCCCGGGGCUCAACCCCGGAACUGCCUUUGAAACUAGGUGACUAGAAUCUUGGAGAGGUCAGUGGAAUUCCGAGUGUAAGGUGAAAUUCGUAAUAUUCGGAAGAACACCAUGGCGAAGCGACUGACUGGACAAUAUUGACCUGAGUGCAAAGCGUGGGACAAACAGAUUAAUACCCUGUAUCCACCCGUAAACAUGAUAACUACUGUCCGG